AUUUAAGUAGUUUAUUUAAAAUACUGGUUUGUGGGCUCAGUGAUGUAGUAGUUACCUUAAAUA
rnacentral:tRNA from 1 species